UUCUGGUUCUACUACUGCCAGGAAGGGAUCGGGUUUUAAUGAUCCAGUACAGAGGAGGUGGUUCCGGGUUCUGGCUACUGUAACCAUGGCAACAGCCCAGUUCCUCAGUAUUAUUCUGUCGAUCAAAUCAGCUUUUAUGAGUUUUGAGCAAAAUUCCGGAAUAUUAAAUAUUUCUGAAGGAGAAUCGAUUUCCGUCAACCCGACGGAACCCCGGAUUGAUCCGGAUCAGAACCGGUUGAAGGUUUUCCCUCCAAACUCAGAACCAGAUUUGGGUUUCUUUUUGGGUCAGAACAGGAGAAGUAACUUCUGUUCGGUUCUGUUCCAAGUACAGAACCGCAGGUCGUGGUAUUAAACAGGACGUCUCCAGGUGUGUCGGCCCGACCCGUAACAUUUCCAUCAUGAAGCGGUUUCAUGACAGCUCCGAACCGAACCGGACGGACCGCGGCCCGAACCCGCGGCUCCACCUCCUCCCGCCGAACUCACACCGAUACCUCAUAUUAAAAUGUCCAACAGUUCUCUGCUGGGAGCGGCGAGGCUCCCGGUCCAAACUGCUCCGAAUCGAACCACCAGGAACAACAUUUUCCACGUUUAACUAAGAAUAAACCGAUGAAUUUAA